rnacentral:rRNA from 1 species
GAUGAACGCUGGCGGCGUGCCUAAUACAUGCAAGUCGAGCGAAGCGGGGACGGGUGAGUAACACGUGGAUAACCUCCUAUAAGACUGGGAUAACUUCGGGAAACCGUAGCUAAACCUGACACUUAUAGAUGGAUCCGCGCUGCAUUAGCUAGUUGGUAAGGUAACGGAUCACCAAAGCAACGAUGCAUAGCCGACCUGAGAGGGUAGUCAGCCACACUGGAACUGAGCUACGGUACAGACCAAAACGGGAGGCAGCAGAGGGGAAUGUAACGCAAUGGGCGAAAGCCUGACGGAGAAAAGCCGCGUGAGUGAAGAAGGGAAUCGGAUAGGAAACCUCUGCUACUAGUGAAGCGGUACCUAAUCAGAAAGCAACGGCUAACUCCGUGCCAGCAGCCGCGGUAAUAC